rnacentral:tRNA from 1 species
ACUAUGUUAGCUCAGUUGGUUAGAGCAUGGUGCUAAUAACACCAAGUUCACAGGUUCAAUCCCUGCUUACUGCA